rnacentral:rRNA from 1 species
UCAUCUUCGGGGGUAGAGCACUGUUUCGGCUAGGGGGUCAUCCCGACUUACCAACCCGAUGCAAACUACGAAUACCGAAGAAUGUUAUCACGGGAGACACACGGCGGGUGCUAACGUCCGUCGUGAAGAGGGAAACAACCCAGACCGCCAGCUAAGGUCCCAAAGUCAUGGUUAAGUGGGAAACGAUGUGGGAAGGCACAGACAGCCAGGAUGUUGGCUUAGAAGCAGCCAUCAUUUAAAGAAAGCGUAAUAGCUCACUGGUCGAGUCGGCCUGCGCGGAAGAUGUAACGGGGCUAAACCAUGCACCGAAGCUGCGGCAGCGACACUAUGUGUUGUUGGGUAGGGGAGCGUUCUGUAAGCCUGCGAAGGUGUGCUGUGAGGCAUGCUGGAGGUAUCAGAAGUGCGAAUGCUGACAUAAGUAACGAUAAAGCGGGUGAAAAGCCCGCUCGCCGGAAGACCAAGGGUUCCUGUCCAACGUUAAUCGGGGCAGGGUGAGUCGACCCCUAAGGCGAGGCCGAAAGGCGUAGUCGAUGGGAAACAGGUUAAUAUUCCUGUACUUGGUGUUACUGCGAAGGGGGGACGGAGAAGGCUAUGUUAGCCGGGCGACGGUUGUCCCGGUUUAAGCAUGUAGGCUGGUUGUCCAGGCAAAUCCGGAUAAUCAAGGCUGAGGUGUGAUGACGAGGCACUACGGUGCUGAAGUAACAAAUGCCCUGCUUCCAGGAAAAGCCUCUAAGCAUCAGGUAACAUCAAAUCGUACCCCAAACCGACACAGGUGGUCAGGUAGAGAAUACCAAGGCGCUUGAGAGAACUCGGGUGAAGGAACUAGGCAAAAUGGUGCCGUAACUUCGGGAGAAGGCACGCUGGUGUGUAGGUGAAGUCCCUGCGGAUGGAGCUGAGACCAGUCGAAGAUACCAGCUGGCUGCAACUGUUUAUUAAAAACACAGCACUGUGCAAACACGAAAGUGGACGUAUACGGUGUGACGCCUGCCCGGUGCCGGAAGGUUAAUUGAUGGGGUUAUCCGUAAGGAGAAGCUCUUGAUCGAAGCCCCGGUAAACGGCGGCCGUAACUAUAACGGUCCUAAGGUAGCGAAAUUCCUUGUCGGGUAAGUUCCGACCUGCACGAAUGGCGUAAUGAUGGCCAGGCUGUCUCCACCCGAGACUCAGUGAAAUUGAACUCGCUGUGAAGAUGCAGUGUACCCGCGGCAAGACGGAAAGACCCCGUGAACCUUUACUAUAGCUUGACACUGAACAUUGAGCCUUGAUGUGUAGGAUAGGUGGGAGGCUUUGAAGCGUGGACGCCAGUCUGCGUGGAGCCAACCUUGAAAUACCACCCUUUAAUGUUUGAUGUUCUAACGUUGGCCCCUUACCGGGGUUGCGGACAGUGUCUGGUGGGUAGUUUGACUGGGGCGGUCUCCUCCCAAAGCGUAACGGAGGAGCACGAAGGUUAGCUAAUCCUGGUCGGACAUCAGGAGGUUAGUGCAAUGGCAUAAGCUAGCUUGACUGCGAGCGUGACGGCGCGAGCAGGUGCGAAAGCAGGUCAUAGUGAUCCGGUGGUUCUGAAUGGAAGGGCCAUCGCUCAACGGAUAAAAGGUACUCCGGGGAUAACAGGCUGAUACCGCCCAAGAGUUCAUAUCGACGGCGGUGUUUGGCACCUCGAUGUCGGCUCAUCACAUCCUGGGGCUGAAGUAGGUCCCAAGGGUAUGGCUGUUCGCCAUUUAAAGUGGUACGCGAGCUGGGUUUAGAACGUCGUGAGACAGUUCGGUCCCUAUCUGCCGUGGGCGCUGGAGAAUUGAGGGGGGCUGCUCCUAGUACGAGAGGACCGGAGUGGACGCAUCACUGGUG